CCCAGGUCAGGCGGGGCUACCCGCUGAAUUUAAGCAUAUCAUAAGCCGGAGGAA
rnacentral:rRNA from 1 species